CCCUUAGAUGUCCUGGGCCGCACGCGCGCUACACUGACAUGUUCAACAAGCCUCCUAGUUCGACAGGAUUUGGGAAAUCUUUGAACGCAUGUCGUGAUAGGGAUAGAUCAUUGCAAUUAUUGAUCUUGAACGAGGAAUUCCUAGUAAACGCGAGUCAUCAGCUCGCAUUGAUUACGUCCCUGCCCUUUGUACACACCGCCCGUCGCUCCUACCGAUCGAAGAGUUAGGUGAAUUGUUUUGAUCGAUAAGAUUUGACUAUGGUCAACUCUCGUUGUGAAAUUCUGUGAAUCUGACUGUUUAGAGGAAGAAAAAGUCGUAACA
rnacentral:rRNA from 1 species